ensembl:lncRNA
CUGAGUUUUCUGCUCGCACAGUGACGCUGACAGAUUUCUUUUUCCUCUCGGUGUAUCCAGUCAUACACAGACUAAAAAAAAGCCUUUUCUACAAUGAUUUGCACGUCAACUUUCACCCGUCAGUGCUUUUUGGAAAAUGGGAUUCUUCCCUGUGGAAAAAAAUAAACAGAAAAUACGAGGGUUUGCUGCACGCAGAACACGCCCCAACCUCCCAGGCGGCCCGGGCACCCUUCCCAUCCCUGUGGAGCCGCACCCCGUGCAGGGCAGGGAGACUUGUCCCAUUAAAAUGGCUCUUGAAGUAGUGACUCUAAUAAUAAUAAUCUGUGAUUCCUUCCCGUUCUGUUGCAGGGCGUGCAGCAGUGUCCCCCUGCCAGCCUCUGGGCACCCUCAGGUCCCCGCUGUAAGAGGUGAAAUGUUGCCUGGACAGCCCUGAAGUUGGAGGUCCAAGGCAUCCAGCUUCGUUUGUCGCAGUGUUUUCUCUCAGGACAGUUGCCUGUUUUGGCUCCGCAGUAAAAAAGGAGGGUAAGAAUGAGGGCAGCGAGGCGGCAAGAGCUGGCAAAGCAAAUGCUGGCAGUGCAGGGCCAGCGGGCUGUGAACACUGGUCGCCUUCCAGGGGAAUUAUCAAGUGGUGCUGCAUGCCAUGGAAGUGUGCAGCAAUGGGCAGAAGGACCGUGCUGUUCUUGACUCCAGAAGUUUGACUCCACUUGUGGUACAAGAAAACGUUCCUGGAGUUGAGUUUGGGGCAUUAAAACAGGAGUGGGGGGAAGAGUUACUUUCUUUGUCCACCUCCCUUUUGCAGCCACUUCCCUGUGCAAUCUUGGGAAAAUCUUGUCUGCCUCGGUUUCGCCCUCUAUAAAAUGGGAAUAAGUCAUGACAGACCCCUCCUUUUAGAUGCCUGGAUCAAAGGUACUAUAUAAGUACAAAGUGCUCCUUCUAUAGGGUAUUAUUGCCAAAUUCGCUAUAAGCAAUUCCAUUGGGUACUUGAUAACAACAGUAGAAUCAGUCAAACGCCCUUGAUGCAUUCAUCGCAUGGUCCCAGAUACCUUUCAGAGCCUCUUUGUGUGCCAUCCUACCCCCUGAGGUCCACGAGGAUGGGGCUUUUGGAGCCUGGAUUCUGCAGGAGCAGGAGGGGUAUGGUAAGCAUCUUCUGGCCCCUGAACCGUGGACCGCUUUUCUUUUUGACCUGUCUGCAGAAUGGAAGUUGUAGCAUUUCUGCACUCCUGGCAAGGGAGCUCCGUCUGUCUCCGAUCAUGGUUCUCGAUCUCUUGCCCACGUGCAGUACGGGUAACGCCAUUCUCCAGGCGUAUGUACGGACACCAUGGAAGAAAGGGUUUGAGCGAUGGAGACAACGGCUGGAAACUCCACCGACACAACGCGACUACAUGCUUGUGAAGCCAGUUCUGAGUUGCCUCACCGGCAGACGCCCGUAGCAUCUUGCAGCAUUCUCCAGACUGCGAAGACAAGAAGUCAGCUGCGUUAUGCUGUAGAAAUCGCAGGGUCUUCUCUAUGCAGGUGAAAAUGGGUGAGAAGGAGUACAACUGUUGGAUUUGUGGCAGGAAUUUUCAAACGAAUGAAAGCGUAAGGAUGAAAACAGAAGAAAAGUAUUCAGCACGGACACAGUUAAAUUUCCAGGAGCAUAAGGAAACUGUUACAGAAAAGGUGACAAUAAUACAUCUUGUUGGAAAGGAGAACCAAAAUGAAGCAGCUGUACAUCAGAGAGAAAAUCUGAACUAAGAGACUGAUAACAAGUAUGCCGAGUAUUUUUUCUUGCUUACGGGUGAAAAAGCCAGCAAAGUCUCUGUUUGAAGACAAAGCACAUAAUAAUAUGAUCAUAAAAAUCUCCUAAUGGGGACUGUGUGAUGCACGGUAAAUGUAUUCCUUUCAGUACGUUAUUCCCUCAACAUGCAGGCUUUCAAGGUACCCUCAAACCGUACUGUGGAUAUGAUAGCAUCAGCACAGCUAGAUGUGAGCAGAGCUGGACCACCUUUUUCCUUAUUAUUGCUAUUAUUUGUGCUCUUAUCAUUUCAUACUGAUCUCACGGCAACUCCUGGGAGGUUCAGACAGAAAAGUCACCCCAUUUUUCAAGAGGUGGUUUGCAGACAUUGCUAAGGCACCAUCUGUGCCCAGAGAAAAGCUGCAAUUGAUGGAAAUGAAGUGACAUUCGGAGGGUGGAGAGAGGAAUACAGCAAUUAUAGGUGGGGCUGGUAGUAUUACCUGUUAUUAAGGGCUUGCCUGACACUUCCCAUUUUAAGGCCUGCUCCUCGUGGUUUUUAAGUACUUAGUAAACUUUAAGCAUUUGUCUUUACCUAGACUUCUACCCUUGGCUGCUUCUGCUGCUCAGGUGUUAUUAACAGAAUUUAUUUCAUUUGGACGUCGUGGCAGGACUGGAGCUGGAGGAAGGAGCAGCAGCUUUAAAAACAUACAAAUAAAUGUUAUCCUUUUACCUUUCAGUAUAUUUUUUUUGUUUUGCUUUGCCAUAAGAACUCAAACAUUGUAAUCUCACCUUGUUUUCUUAUAUUCCUCCAGCUACCUGUCUGCAUCCAUCUGUGAUCUCUUUUCUUAGAUUUGAGCCUGUCUUUCUGAUCUGCAUUUGUGCACUGCUUUAUACAGCUGGGUGCUGGUCCGUGACUGCUGCACCUAUGAGCUGCAGCCACGCAAACAAAUACUCUGGGUCUGCACAGGGCAAUUGUUUUGGAGAAGUAAAUAAAUAUUUCCUAUCCAGAAAUCCUUCACGGUCCCUUCCUGAUUGAUUGUGACUCCCAAAUGCUUUGGAUAGAAUUGCUUACCUUUCCCCUCACACUUAAAGUGCUGGAAGUGUUUCGUAUUCAAAUAUGAGUGGCUUUUCUUGUCAACAACAGCUCCUUUUAGAAAACACUGCUGCUAAAAAUAAAAAGACUGCUUUUCAGGCUCUGUUUAAACACAGUGCUAUUCAGGGAUCAAGCUGAGCAAAAGCUUAUUCCCUCUACCCAUGUGUUUUGAAACAGCACACAGAGGAAGGGAACGAGCCACUGAGUUUAUGUUUCAACUGGAAAUGCAAAAGAGAGAGCCAGAUUCAUUAAGACUGUUACACUAAGUCAAUAUGACCUUUCCCUUUGUAUUUUGCUUCCUUCGAUUGACUUGAAAUUGGACUAGGCGGUGAGCACUGUGCUCCAGACCUUUGAGUUUUUUCAGCAAAGGUCAUUGUUUUCAGCCAGAAGGGUGGUCAUGACUUCAGAAGUGAGUUCUGUGCUCCCCCACAAAGCCUCACAGGCCAUUUCACUCACCUCCUUUACAGCCAGUAUUUUUCACCCUCAUUUAACUACAGCUGGCAAAAUCUUACAUAAUUUGGCCUUUUAGAAUAAAUGCAAAAAUCACUGUUACAGCAGCAGGUUGCUAACAUUGCGCUUUCCACACCUUAAGCCUGAUCCUGCAAAGUAAGGAAUGUUUUGGGUCCUUUUGCUUCAGUUUUUAUUUUGAGUAUUUUUGUCUCCCAGCAAAGUGAACAGCCUUGGCAUUUGCGGCAUCUGAUCCUACAUUUAACCAAGUCAGUAACAAAAUGGUCGCAGGUUGAAAUGUUUGAAGUUACUCCUAUUGGGACUGAAGAUGGUUUCCUAAAUGCAGACUUGUGUUCUCUCCUUGUAACCUGGUUGAGGUCCAUGUAAUCUAUGGCACACUUUCUACAGCGUAAUCACAUGGAAAAGUCCUUGGCCAAAAAAAGUAAGCAAACAACACCAGAUCUCAGCAAACCACAAGCGUGCUUCAACAUCUGAGUGUGGGCAGACUCAGGACCUGAAGACUGUGCCAUGCAUCAACAUGGCACUAAACUAAAAACAACAACAAAUAAACAAACAACACUCUUUCCUCCCCCGAACUCUAGCAAAUCUGAUUUGAACUAAGAUCUCUAUGUAGCUGCACUUAAUUUAUUCUUUCCUUCCUGAGUGGCCUCUACUAGCUUUCAAAGACAUAAUAAAACACCUGCCCCUACCCUUCUGCCCCUAUCUCUUAAAAGCAGCCCACAAUCCUUGCUCACAGGUCUACCAGCUGAAAAGGCAAAAUUGACAUUUUUUUUCCCCUUUAGAAACAUGCUCUUAACACACACGCACAGGACUGCUGCGGGGGUCAAUGAGAGUAUAUAAUGCAGAGAGUGAGAAGCGAAUGCAACCCUGUCUUCCUGGUUUUCCUGGAGGUAGGUGGAAAGAUGGUUUUUUGCAGGACACAGUUUGCUGGCAUCAAGCCAGGCUCAUGCCAGCUGCUGCAACUGCAUGGUAAUAAGCCUGUUUCUAUGCGAAAGAGCUUAUUGCUAAUAAUUCCUGUCAGCUUCUAACCUGUGCUUUUCUUAUUAUUUUUUUUUAAAUCAGAUGUUUACAAGAAGGAUUUUAUUUUUUUAAUGCAGUGUUCUAAUGCAGUGUUAAUGAUUAUCAGCUCAAUCUGACUCAUCCAACCCAGGAAACAGUUUAUGUUCCUUUCUAAUUAUAAAAGCUGAAGAAAAAAAUAAUUCAAAAAUCCUAUAUUUUCCCCAAAUAAUUUUUCCCCUCUUUUCUGGAAUUAAUAUGAGUGAAAUUUACAGUAAAAAGUAAAACCUGCAAAUAACCAGACCAUAGCCAGUUGGGGUCUCAGUGCAAGGUUCUUGGAAGGGGCACUGAAUGGUGGAUGAAGCCACAAGGAGUCAAGAAGACACAAGUGGAAUUCGUUAGAAACGGGCAGCCUGAAGUGAUGGUCUCACUGGCCAAUGCCCAGAGCCACUGUUAAAGAUCCAUGUUUUACUGAAGUAUCCUUCUUGAGCUGUUCUAUUAAGACAUACUAACCAAAGGCAUAGUGCGAGACUCUGUAAAUUCAACCUCUGCUCCUCUUGAGGCACUGCAACUUUUUUUUUCUAAACAACAUGGUGUAAAAUAAGAAGAAAGAAAUAGAUGGCUAGUAACAGGCUAGUUUCCAGGUAACACAUGUCAGUAUCACAAAGUAGGCCUCAGACUAAACGUGGGCCAUCAGAGAGCCUAGAGGCUAAACUGUUAAUAAAGACCAAAACUCACCAUGAGCUGGUCUUUCUUCCAUGGCAAGGCUGAAUGGGAUGGAAGAACCUGAAUUUCUUGCUGAUUCUAUAUGUGGCUAGACAGGUCUUCACCAGUGAUCUCAUGUCUUUCAUGAGCUCUAAAAUGACAUUAACAUUUUAAAAUAACAAGCAAAACUACAGGAGCUUUCAGGCUUCCUAAAAGCCUAUUUAUAGGCUUAGAUACUGACAGCCAAAUUUCUCAGAACGUUUCCUUCUUCUUCUGAUGUUUUUAGGUGAGCUUCUGUAGGAUCCCCACCCCCAAAGGACACUUUCCAUUCUGGAGAGGCCAUGAGAUAGUCACAUCAUGUCUCUCUGUCUCUCUUCCAAACAAGAUUUGUAAAAGACAAAUCUUGGCUCAAGUGGCAAAUUCUGGAUUUAUUCCUGGUCUGUAUGAGAGGAAGACUAGCUUGGCUUCUCCAUUCCAGCCUGCCUUAAGUCCUUAUCAUCCCUGGCAAUGUCACAUCACACAUGAAGUUAAUUCCUUUGGCAUUUCAUCUAGCAUAGCUUAUGACUAUACUCUGAAAUAGCCUGUGUGGAAGGCAAGUCAACAACAAAAAAGACAAGAAGUCUGAUGCUGAUGUGGGGGUGCCCCCACCCUGGGGGAAAAUAAAGGAAGUGGUCUUCCUAUAGUCAUAGACUUCAAGGCCAGAGGUACUGCUGUGUUUUUCAAAUCCAGUUCUAUUCUAGAAGGCAACUAACAUGGAUUUUAAAACAGCUAGGGCAAGGAAACACAGGAAGGUUUUUGGGAGGUUCUUCUAGUAGUCAAGCAUCAGCUCUUCUAAUGUCUGAACAAGUUUGGUUUCACCUUGCAGCUCCUGGGUGGUGUUACGCCUCUGUCUUCUAUACCACAUAGCCCUGUAUGAAGCUUUGUUCCUUAUGGUGGCACUUACAGACUGAUCAAAUCCAGUCCCUCUUUUUAUCCAUGAGGAGCUUCAACCUUUAACUCUAGAAGGCAAACUUUCCAAACUUGCUAUUAUUGACAUCUUCCUGGACUACAGAUACCAGGACAGGACAAAGCGACACCAUUUUGCCUGUGCCUCAGCUACAUGAUGAUAGGUUGGCUAAAGCUAAAGUUAGGGUCCAUGACUGUAUCCACAUAUCCAUGUGUUGUGAAAGGCUGGUGUUCCUCACUGGGACAGCCCAAAUUCUAUCAGCCCUUCUGUCCCAACAGAGAUGCCAGGAGGCACGUGGCCUAGCUAGUAAUGGCUGAGCCAUAUAGUUCACCCCCACUGCCAAUAGAUGAAAGCUGUAUCCCCACCAAUAGUCAAAUGAACCCAAGAUUUCUGCUCCUUGGCACUUCCCCAGAAAUGGAAGUCACACUUAGCACACAGGCUGGUUUCACAUAAUGAGGCUGCAGGGCUGUUAGGAUUCACAGAUGGACUUAGGCCUUCUACGGGAUGAAUCAGUGCCAUAAUAUAGCCUCUUGAUCCCGAGGUUCCCCUGCUCUUGUCUUAGAGACUUAUUCUUUUGGCAAAUGGAUCUCCUCAGGGACUGGCACUCACCAGGACAUGUGCUUUGACCACAAAGCUUUCAUUUCUAUCAUUUCAUUCAAGGUCAGUCCCCGAUUCUUUAACAGCCUCUUAUAACUUCUUUGCACCUUUACACUGGGAUGUAUUAAAACCCAUGCUGUUUUCUAACUGAUAACUCACCCUGCACCAUUGAUCUCUCAUCUUUGUUUACCCCAUUCUCCAUGUCAUCUGCAAACUUUAUCAGAGUUGAUUUUAUAUUUACUUUCAUGUCACUGAUAAAAAUGCUAAGUAACUCAACAGUUAGCAGAAAGAACGGGAGGGACUGUCCCCUGUAAUUUGUGGGUUCUUAGAAAAUCUGGGAUUCUUAUUAUAUCAACCACAGACUCCUUCCAAAGGCCAGUGCCUAGGAAAUGACUCCUAUCAAUAUCCCAUGUGUGCACCAGAGCACAGAUCUACUGCACAGGGAGAAGAGAUUUACACAUAUUGAAUUCACUGUUAUUAUUUUGACAAAUAGCAUAAUCCCUUAGAGCUAGUUCCUGCAUAAUCACUUCUCUGUGUUUUUACUGACCUUAGAAACAGAACUAGAGAUGAGAAUGGUUGAGAAGAUGGAAGACAGCUUACCAGACCCUCCUUUGCUCUGGGCUGAUAUAGGCUGCCUGGAAACCCUUAAAAGACGUGCUCCAACUUCCAUUUGUGCUUUCUUCCAUUUUGUAGUAACAAGAACACCCUUUGAAAGGCUGGGGUUAAAAGAGGGAUGUGUUUUAAAGGAAUGCAAAGGAAGAAAAUGCAUUUUUUAUUUUGCACAGCAGUCCAGGCAGCUUUCUGUGAGUGUGUUUUAAUCAUGGCAUGGACGGAUCUGCUUCUGUGAUGCUUUCAUGCAUCAGAUGCUAUCCAGAAGGAGUCAGGCAGGGCUGCAACCCCAAACAUAUGGAAAAAGCUUAAUGAUCAACUGAAAUGGGAGCCGACAUCAUCUGAUUUAAGACAUUUUAGUGCUUCAUCUUUAAGUGUUAGAAUUAAAACUGUGAUGACUCCAUGUUGCCUUCUCCUUCACAUUAAGAAUUUUUCUGGACCGUGUUCAUGUUAUGAUUAUGUAUCUGGGAGUAUCCAUGGCAUUCGCUGCUGUUCGUAAGAAGAAUAUGUCUUCACACAGCCUUUAACAAUGUGCUGAGUGCUAUCAAACGGAACCAAAGUUUGUAGGACCAACUAUUCUUUAUUUUUUGAGAUUUUCUCCUUCUAUUUCUUUCUAACAAGGGAUUUUUAUUUGUCUGGGUUUCUGAAUUCUCACAGGAAGCAAAGUCAAGUAGGUGCGAUCUGCGUUUUCCUCUAAAGGAGAGGAUUUCUGGCCAUAUUGAGUACAGCUAACAACAGUGGAGUUUUAGCUAAUGAAACUGUGAUAUUAUUGAAUACAUUUUGUGUUCUUGUUUGAGAGGAAUAAAAUGGAGCUGACUGGAGACUCUGCAGACGUUAAAGCCCAUUUAUGUGUCAGCAGUAUGAAUUCUGCUGGGUGCCACUUCUUCAGGAGUACUCUUGUAAAAGGGUUUGUAACAUUUCCAAGGGUUGCAGCAUGAAGAAAUUUGAACAAUUGCAUUUACCAGACUCAGUCAACAAGUUAGCUGAAAAACAAGAACCAGGUUCUCAGAAGAGAUUUAUUUAUUUAUUACCAUAGCAAAUAACAUGCCAACAUGAUAUACAGGGCACACACUCAAGACUUUCCUGCUAAAUAUGAGAUUCAGUAACAACCUACACUUCAUUUUUCACACACCAGCAAAUGUGUGCCAACAUGUGAUUUUCUGACUUUGAGAAAGAAAUGAAACCUGGAUAGCAUAUUUGACUUUCAUUUUUUUGAAUGCCUGUAUGUAUUUCUCCCCAGUGCAUACAAGGCCUGUACCAACACCGAAACGCUAACAGACAUGGCAAAGCAAUGCUGUCGCAUACCUACCACUGUCAUUUUACAACAUAUGUGCAAAUGCGUUAAUACCAAGUAAAUCUGAACUGUCAUUGAUGAUGAAUCAGAAUGCACCAUUUCCUUUGUUUAUUAACUCGAAAGAAUACCAGCCUGACUAAACAUUAAUUUCUUUUUUCAGCACUUUGCCCGUGAUUAGUGCCUCAAUGAGAUUCUAUUGUAAUUUAAUUUAUUAUAAGCAAUGUCAUUUUAUCAGUAGCAUGCCACAUGUAUUGCCUGAGAAUUUUCUUAAAGUGUAAUUAACCUUCAAUAUCGCAUGGGUUAGUUAGUGUUGAAGGCUCAAGUGUUGGGGUUGUUUUAACUUGUGUUUUCUUUUAACACCGACCUUUUCAAAUUCCCUCCUAGAUAAUGGGAUAUGACUUUUAAAUGGAAGAUAUAGCUUUCAAAAUGGUUCAACAUAAUAUAAGAGAUAAAACAACUGAGGAACCAAAAAAGCAAAUAGUGUCUCUGACUUAAAAGGAAAACAACUAUCAGUGUCCCCAGUGAUUCUCUAAUUUGGAGAUAUCUGAACAAGACAGGUCUUAAAAGAAAAAACAGCUCUACACCGAACACCAUCACUUCAGAGCGGUGAAUUUCAGCUGGUGCAGAGCAAGAAGGGUGCAGAUAAAUGCUACCCGAUGUAAAGCUUCACAGCCCAGUGUUAACCCAUAAGCAUUUCUUCAGCUAAUAUGAAGAGGAUGGAUGAACUGAGGCUGAAGCGCUCUGCUUCACGUGGCUGUGGCCACUAUGGUCCCACAUUAUCAACCCCAAUGGGAGGAACUGGCUGACAUUGGGGAAGUUCUGAUUGCAAAAGAAGGCUGACGUAUGCCCAGCCCUGAAUGGUGCUCUGGCCACGUUGGCUGCUGCCUGGUUCCCACAGUGCAAACUGAACAAUGCCCCAAGCUGCUGUGCCUUGGAAAAGGUCCUGAGGACCCAACCCAGGCUGGUGACAAAUAUUCAUCAGUCCCCAGAGUCAUUACCGGUCCUGCUUCAUCUCCAAAACUAAAAUGUGGGCCUCUUUGUUUUUAAGGUUUUUUUUGGGUGGAGGAAGGAGAUUAUUUUCUAAAGAUCUCUGAAAAGCCCUCAGCACGUGCCAGAAAUAGGUAUGAUCUCUGCGUCUCAUUGCCAGCUCUCCUGAUUUCACCGACAGCAUUCAGUGCUGUUUGUUUAGUGUUCCCCUCUCCCAGCCUUUUUAUAAAGGAAAGAUGGCUAGAUCUUUUGGUGGUGGAAAUACCUGGAAGCCAUCACUUUAACACAACCCAAAGGCUCAGAUUACAGCAAACAAACAGAAGAAAGACAAGUGUAUUUAUUCAGGCUUUUUAAUCUUAGGAAUUUAAAGCAAAUUUGCUGACCAUUGGAAACCUCAGCCCUGAUCUGCGAAGGCUCAGGGCUGCCAAUACUAUUAGCAUACAUGCUGAAGAGUUUCAGCUGAUAAAGUUGAGUGGUGUGCUAUCUGGUCUGCUCUCUCAAGGGAAAGUCAGGCUGGGGAGAUGAGGUUUGACUUCAUUUACUCCAUGUGACCUUAGACUGCUGCUUAAAACAGUCUGCUCUUUGUUUCUCCAACUGUCAAAUGAAGAUAAUGAUUCUUACCCAUUCUUAGGACUGUGCUUUGAAAUUUAUAAAUGAAAAUAUUAUUUAUAUUCAAGAGGCUCCCAGACAGGGAAAAUGAAUGAUUUCCAUAAAUGCAAUAUAUUUCUUCCAGUCUGGAUCGUCAUACCUAGUUUCUGGCACUCACACAAACUAAGGAUGGGUGUGAGAGGCAAAUACUUCUAAACAUUUUAUAUACAUAUAUUUAUAUUUUAUAGUCUCUCUCUACAGCAGUUAUCUGUGUGUAAUUUUCUGCAUAUACAUAUAUAUGUGUUUGUGUGCAUGCAUGUGUAAUAAAGACAUGGAAAACCACUUGAGGUGAAUGUGAACCUUUCCUGUCUCACAUUUAAGGGGCUGACUGCCUUUGCAACACUCUCAAAGAACAAAGCUAGUAAAUAUCUCUUGUCACUUUAAAAGGUGAAAAACUCUACUGGUCUGUUGCCUAGCGAAAUUUAUACAUUAAAACAUUACCAGUUAAAGUUGUGAUGUAAUGUUUGUUGCAGGAUGAUUUCAUGCCAAAGCAUUUACCUUAGUGCAAUAUUAAACUGCAUGAUUUUGGUUUCUAUCCAAAAAGUAAUGGAGUUUCCCAGGGAGAAGGGGGUAUCAGAUGCCCAGGGAGCUCCAGGGACAAGCCCUCUCUCAAGAAUAACCCAUUGCACCAGACAGUGUGACACUGGACUCUCUAUGAAAGAGUCUGAUAUCCAAGAUGACCAGAGAUCACUCUGUGGGGACCACCACAAGAGCAACAGGAGAAACAGAUGGAAGGACACAAGCUCAAACCUCAGACGUUGCUAAAUGCAUUGGGUGUGAAGAUGGACUAGCUCACAUCCCAUACCUGUGGUUUAUAACCCUGUUGUCAUGUGUUGAGAGCUAGCUGCUUGAAAUCAGUAGGGAUUUAAUGACCAAUGAAGGUAAAACAAAAUAUUCUGCCAGAACGUAGAAAGUAUGCUCUAAGUUUGCUUUGCACUGGAGAAAAGGUGGUGGUGUCCUGGGCUGUGCAAUGAGCAUCCCGCGGUGGGGUCCAGUCUUUCAACUGUCUAUGGGGGGGUCAAAGCAGGAGCCAUAACUGGCCAGUGCCUACCAUCACUAUUGAAUAUCUGCAGUAUCAAAGAGUGGCAGAUCCAUCAGUCAGAGGAUCCAAACAUUUUUGCCUGGCUGAAGUGAUGACGAUCCAUCUCCUGAUGCAAGCCUGGAUAAUGAGGAAGGAGAAGAUGUGAUUUGAAGAGGGGAAGACAGAGAAACUCUCUGAAAGCAACAGACCAAGGGAGACUUAGUACGUUUAAACCCAGCAGAAGGCUGAUCCAAAAAGUAUUUUGAGCAGACUCCCCAACAUUACCAUUAGAGAUUGUGGCUCAGGAUCUCUUGUUUGUGCUGCAUAAUGUUUCAGUGCUCCAGCCAGGCAGAGGUGGGACUGUAAGAUAUUUAGCACUGGCAUCAUGAUGAGACCCUGAGGUGUGCUUCAGGAAAUGUCUGGGCUUUGGCCAAAUAAUACAUGAGACAGUUGUGUAUAUUUGCUACCAGGUUGACUUGUAAUUCCCUGUAUCUCAUUAAAAUUUCUAACUCACUGUAUGUAGAAAUAAGAGAAAUGCACUGAGCCGUCUACUCCAUCUUCUGUCCUGUGUAGGCUUGCUCUCUUGAGUACUACUGCUUAUGUUUUGCAAAUGUAGCCCUAUGUGUAUGAAGAAAUGCAUCCCUUCAUUUAUGAGAGCAAUCGAUACCCUAACAGGCCUGUCAAUAAGUUUUCAUUUUCUUUCACAUUUCUGCCUUUAAAAAUAUCAUCGUACUGCUUGUUAUGCCCACUGGUGUUAAUAACACUUUCAACAUACGUAGAUGCCUAUUGGAACUUCUUCCUGUUCAUUACUUAGCCAAUAUAUAUGUCUUUAGGGCCAGACUUUUACAGAGUUGCCCAUAACAUUUUGCUUUGUAAGUAGGCCUGUUAAGAUAUAGGGGAAAAGGAUGGCAUAUGAACUAAGCUACUCUACAUGAAUAAAACGUGCCCCAAUCCACCCCUAAACUAUUUUAAUCUUUCCUUAAAAGUCAGCCCAGACAACUCCUCAGACACCAUUGUUGCUCUCCACUGAACCUGCCCUUUUAUAUGCUAAUCAGGUACCCAGGAGUGAAUUUAAUAUUCCUAGAGUGGUCACACCAAAGCCACAUGGAGUGGAACCUUUUCUUCACUUUUCCAGGAGGUGAUGUCUUUGAAUGUGCAGCCAAAAAUUUCCCUUUCUCUCUUUUUGCUCAGUCACAUUUAAUUCACUCUCUACUAUCACCCUCAGGCUUCUUUCAGCAUUACUUUCCUCAUUUUCCCUUCUAAAGAAUAACUGAGUUUUGGAUUAUUUUCCCUAGAUGUCUGGGCUAGAAUGUCUUCAAGUUGAGACUCUCUCUGUUAUUUCCUCCCCAUAGGUUAUAUCAUGUCAUCAGCUAUUAAGCACAGUUCUAAAUGUGGAUCAUAAGUUAUGGAUUUCGUUUUCAUUGAUUUUCAAGGAGGAGGAAGGAAUUGACGAUUACUGUCUGAAUUUAAAUUCCACCUCUCUCCUAUCAGCAGCAGAAAUAACGGGAAUUUUAUUUCUUACAGCUUACUGUACAAUGUGUUCUUUCUGAUCACAUAUUUUCACAAAUAUUUGCAGUUCAGAAAUUGAAAAUAUUCUCCCUAAUAGUCCAGAAAAGACAUUUUUUAAACCUUUAUUCAUAGCCAAAUAAGAGGUUGAAAAUGGCAUAUUUAGGGCAUACAGUAAUUAAGUCUCAAGGAAAACAAGUAUGGGAGUACUUUUUAGGACGGCUGUAGGAUUGACUGGGGAGAAAACUGUAGUCCGGUAAUUGCAAUUUAUUAUCAAUUCAGGAGACUAUAUUUGGCUACGGUGUCUGUAAUGCAUUUUAAAAUGAAUUUACUGCUGAUGUAAACUGAAAAAUGCAUCCAAUUGAAUUAUACAUUUUCUGAUAGGUGAAGCAAUUUUGUACAAUUCUUGCGAAAGAUGAAAUACGACACACCGAUGUUGUUGGUUACAAAAGUACUGCAGUGUAAGAAAGUGACUGCCGUGCAGGGAAGAGUUCUCCACUCAUUUAUAUCUACAGGGAAAAUUAAUUAAAGUUGCCCCUGUGAAGCUGAACGCAGUUUGCUGCUCUGCCUGGAUAUAUUUUUAAACACAAAUAAUCCGUGUUUCAGCUCCAUUUUAGAAGGCAGAGAAGUUCCUGGCAUCAAAGUUUCUUCUUCAGAUUGAUUCGCUGGAUUGGAUUGCCUUUCCUCAUGUAAUCAGACUGAUACACGUCCCGAGUUCCUACGCAAAGGCAUUAUAUGAAGAUGGAAAGAUGUAAAUUCACUUGAAGGAGACGACCAAAUUAACAGUGCAUCAGCAAGCAAACCACACCGUGACUGCUUACAAUCUCCCUGCACACAUCGCCCGUUAAGGAACAUUCAGCAGCAUUAAUAAUCAAAUGUUAACUGAAAAAGCUAGACAAGCUAUUGGAUAUUUGGCAUGGCCAAUUGAUGUUCGUUCUGCUCAAGCGUUUGUGAAAUAAACAUUUAUCCUCUGG